rnacentral:lncRNA from 1 species
CUUUUGAUGAUAGAGCAGCAUAAAGUCCUGGAAAGCUCGGUCCUGGUGCAUGACAAUGGGAGAGGACUACCCAAGAGUGGCAGGCAUGCCAUGGAAGGCAAAACGGAAUGCUCCCUCUCAGACUGGAACUGGGAAUCAUUCUAUUAAAAGGACAGCUGUCGUUUAAUAUUCAUUGAGCAGCCACCAUGUUCUAAGUGCCAUAUGAAGCAUAUAUGUGAUGGGACUUUUGGAAAGAGGAUGCUAGUUUGUACAGGAACCAGUUACUGCUGGUAUUUGAUUUGACGGCUCUGUGAAAGCUGUAGAAGGGCUCCCCUUUUGCUAAUUGAGAAGAACGCUGUAUGGAUUGCCAAGACGGUGAUCCUGAAAAACCAUUUACAAUAUUCAAUUAACAAUAAUUAAGGCACUCAGUGGGAAGCUCCUCACUGACUUGCUAAAUAGCAAAAAUUGGUACUUGGCAGUCCCUGUGGAUGAAAGGAAAGAUAAUAAGUACCCCAAAUGUAAAGACAAUCGAAAUGAAACCAAUUAUGACCAAAUUAUAUUACACAAAUAGAAGCACAAGUUGAAUCAGGAAUAUUUAAGGUUUUGACAAGAAAUAUUAAAAAGACAUUUUAGCCAUUAAUUGAUCAUCUAAUCUAGUUUAGUUCUGGGAAAGAAGCUGGUUUAUAAAUGUUUAAGUUUUACGUAUGCUGAUAAGGG